AUGGAGCCGAAGGAACCAUUGUUCCACAGCCGGCCAAUCCCCCCGAACGUCUUCAAGGUUUCUGUGACCAGUGUCAAACCGGGCCACGAGAAUUUGCCUCCUCUAAUACUAGUGGGGGAUGACGACGAGACCCCGUGGCGGCUUGAUGAUUGUUGCAAUGGGUGGGUCCUGUUGUGGCCAAAGAGUCUGCUUCGUCUGGAGGCGGCCGGGAGCACACCCACGAGCACACAGCAUCAGCAAGGUAUGAACAUCAACACCCCACCUACCCAAUUAGCAUCGGGUGUCGGGUUGGGUGAUAGCGAACGGGGUAAGGAGGAGGCUCCAUUAGUCGCUGAUGACGUCGCCAUGGAUGAGGAUGAGGAUGACGAUGGCGCUGAACAGUAUGUCUAUACUGGCGCCUCCUCAGGGUUUGAGCGUCAUGAGUCGGUGCCUGAAUUGUCGUCUCAACGUAUUAUGGACGACCUUCCGGUAGUAAAGAAGUCUAGGAAGAGAGCGAGGAAAGGCAAAAAAGCUGAUGCUAUGAUCCAGCCGCCUCAGCAGCCUCGGCUUCAGGACCGUAUAGAUAUCCCCGAUGCGGAUAAAUAG
rnacentral:rRNA from 1 species